GCCCUCGUAACCUAAUGGAUAGGGUCCCAGUUUUCUAGUCUGGUUUGUGCAGGUUCGACUCCUGCCGAGGGUA
rnacentral:tRNA from 1 species